rnacentral:tRNA from 1 species
GGGAUGGCAGAGCGGUCGAUUGCGGCGGUCUUGAAAACCGCUAAUGCUGCAAGGCAUUCCGGGGUUCGAAUCCCCGUCCCUCCGCCA